rnacentral:rRNA from 1 species
UACGUAGGGUGCGAGCGUUAAUCGGAAUUACUGGGCGUAAAGCGUGCGCAGGCGGUGAUGUAAGACAGGUGUGAAAUCCCCGGGCUUAACCUGGGAACUGCAUUUGUGACUGCAUCGCUGGAGUGCGGCAGAGGGGGAUGGAAUUCCGCGUGUAGCAGUGAAAUGCGUAGAUAUGCGGAGGAACACCGAUGGCGGAGGCAAUCCCCUGGGCCUGCACUGACGCUCAUGCACGAAAGCGUGGGGAGCAAACAGG